rnacentral:rRNA from 1 species
AAUGAACGCUGGCGGCGCGCCUAAUACAUGCAAGUCGAGCGAGAAGACGUAGCAAUACGUUUGUAAAGCGGCGAACGGGUGAGGAAUACAUGGGUAACCUACCCUAGAGUGGGGAAUAACUAGCCGAAAGGUUAGCUAAUACCGCGUACGCUCCUUGGACUUCGGUUCAGGGAGGAAAGCGAUACCGAGGGUAUCGCGCUCUUGGAUGGGCUCAUGUCCUAUCAGCUUGNGGUGAGGUAACGGCUCACCAAGGCUUCGACGGGUAGCUGGUCUGAGAGGACGAUCAGCCACACUGGCACUGCGACACGGGCCAGACUCCUACGGGAGGCAGCAGUAAGGAAUAUUGCGCAAUGGGCGAAAGCCUGACGCAGCGACGCCGCGUGGGGGA